rnacentral:rRNA from 1 species
GACGAACGCUGGCGGCGUGCCUAAUACAUGCAAGUCGAGCGAAGCGGCGGAUGGGUGAGUAACGCGUGGGUAACCUGCCCAUAAGUCUUGAAUACCAUUUGGAAACAGAUGCUAAUACAGGAUACUAAAGGAUUGACAGGGGAUGCAUUAGCUAGUUGGUAAGGUAACGGCUUACCAAGGCGACGAUGCAUAGCCGAGUUGAGAGGCUGACCGGCCACACUGGGACUGAGACACGGCCCAGACUCCUACGGGAGGCAGCAGUAGGGAAUCUUCCACAAUGGACGAAAGUCUGAUGGAGCAACGCCGCGUGAGUGAAGAAGGUUUUCGGAUCGUAAAGCUCUGUUGUUGGUGAAGCGGUAAUCAACCAGAAAGUCACGGCUAACUACGUGCCAGCCGCCGCGGUAAUAC